GUUGCUUGUGGCAGAGGCUCCCGGGCCAGAACGCAUCCAUCCAUCCUCUUUACAUGGAUGUAGUUUAUUGUUCAUAAGUUAAAGUUCAAUAAAGUUGAUACAGAAUCUAUAGAUUGUAUCAAGCCUGGCGUAGACUCACCGCUGGACUGCAUAGCUGCUCCUCGUGAUGUCGCUGCUGUUAUCGUCACCGCUGAACCGUUAGCCGUGGGGGGUGGUCCGCCUUGGCCUAUGCGCUAACCAGCCACUGCGGCACUAGGACAUUCCUGGGGCUAGGAGAAACACUUUGUUCUGUGAGACUACACAUCCCUACCCAACAGAGGAUGAGAAAAAACAGAUUGCUGCUCAGACAAAUUUGACACUACUCCAAGUCAACAACUGGUUCAUCAAUGCCAGAAGACGAAUUCUUCAGCCAAUGUUGGAUUCAAGUUGUUCAGAGACCCCCAAAACAAAGAAAAAAACUGCUCAGAACCGGCCAGUUCAGAGGUUUUGGCCUGACUCUAUUGCAUCAGGAGUCGCACAGCCACCGCCGAGCGAGCUCACCAUGUCGGAAGG
rnacentral:sRNA from 1 species